GAGAAAUCGAAAAGUAAACGUGAGAUGUCUGUCAGCGCCUCAAUAAUGCCGUGACUGACAUUUUCAUCUGAAGCGGGAGGUCAAACGGUUUCCUAAACUUCUCCCAUACAACGGACCUGACGAGCGUGACAAACUGAGUGAGGAGUUUCUGGACUACCAGUCCAUGGACAUUGCCAUGCCCGAAGACCCAGCCACGUUCGACAUUGAGAGCUUUUGGGGGAACAUGGCAUCAAUGAAGAAUAAGGUGACCAGUAUGAGCAGAUUAGGGAGGCUCUCUCGUAUUGCCAAGUUGGUGUUGGUACUUCCACAUUC